GAUACCUCUGUAUGGCAGAGGUAGCUACCAGCCUGGAAAACAACUGUGACACAGUGCAACAGCAUAAUUCAAAAUUUAAGUAUUUCCUUACAUUUUGUUUUUAUGCUUUUACUUAGACUACAGGGUGGUAGUGCAUUGUUGCACCAAAGCAGUACAUCUCAGGGGGUUUUGCUGGCUAGCCUGAACCUUGCAGAGGUGGGUGCCUGUCAGCUUGGACAGAAGACCAGAAGAGGUGCGUAGGAGAGAGCCACAAGUUCCCUUACAAGGUGACAGCCGUUUUCUUCUCAGCUGUAUAACAACUAAAUAUUCUUGUCUUGUUAGUAUUGUUUUGAUAACAAAUAACCUAAGUUGUUUGAUACUGUUGUCUUAAACCUUUGUUGCAAUAUUCAUGCACAAAUAUAUGCACACACAAGCCUAGAACAAAAUUUUCACUGGAGAUGCACAAAAAAGGAUUUGAGCCACCAAAGUCCAGAAUUGUAGUCUGCAUUGCAUUCUGGGGGGAAAGGCCCAGCUUCUAACCACUUUCCCCUUGCACUGCAGCAGAAAAUAUUUUACUUGGUCAUGAGGAGAGUUUUCGUACCAGUAUAGGCUGCAAAGCAAAUUUCCUUCAGAUCAUUCUGGAGUUUUGGGGAAGAGACUGGGUAAGUGUUCGACUGAAAUGGCUUAGGGGUAGCAGAUCUUGAAGUGGUGAGGCAAGUAGGCUGGAUGAUCUUCUGAGGUUCCUCCCAGACGUACUUCUGUGAUGCUGUGAUUUAUUGUAAGAGGCUUCUUUCUAAGUAUAAAGACAUAACGGUAUCUCUCAUCUCCCUGGCUGUCAUGUUCUAAGACAAAUGCAUUUCACCAAUUUUAUGCUUGGGAAAAAAGGUCCAAUCUUCACGAGUUCUGCCUUCGAAUUUUGUCUGAUUUUCCCAUUAUGGCGGUUGGCCAAAUAAAUGCUAUGGCCUCUGCCUUACAAGCUUGCCUUGUGCUGACGGGUCUGCAUUUUAAACAUCCAUCCUUCCCAAGGGUAAUGUAGGUCUCUGACUUGUAUUUUUUAGAAUUAUACUGAAUCACAGUAAGCCCAAAAUAUUGAUUAUCGACCAAAGUAAAACGAAUGUCACCCAGUAAUAUGCGUAUGUAUGUGUGUAUCUCUCUGUUCAGGUGCAUUCAAAUGAACUGUACACACUUAGCAGUAUCAGCAAUGCUUCCUUCCCUCCUUUUUUUAUUUUAUUUUUUUUAAUAUAUAUAUAUUUUUUUUAUGGUAAAAAAAAAUCAAAAGUUUGUCUGAUUCAUAGCUAGACACAGCCUAUAUCUAAGCCCAGACAUCAUGGCUGAAAUUUGCUAACUUGGAAGGCGACUGUCUAAACCGAACUAACAAUGUCAAUUCUUUUAUACUUCCAAAUGUUCUGGUAUGAAUGAUACAUGGGCAUACUCUUUGGAAAAGAAAUAGAAUUUCAACUGAAUAUGAAAAAAAAACAAACAACAACUUGCCUGCGGAAAUGUUGAAGUCAAUGUCUUUGCCAGAAGCUCAGGAAAGAAAGGCAUCUUAAAUUUAAAGUUAGAUUCAAGCAGUUGGCUAUCUUACCUUCUCAGUUUUCUCACUUUUUAUGUGGAAUUACACGCUAGCCUAGAUAUAUCUCCGCAGUCGCAUUCCCUUCAUAUGUUACUCAGCUAUGCUGCAAGUGCAUAUGUGAAUGAUUUUAUCUUUAGUAAAAUUAUGUGAAUGAUUUUACUUCUCACCAACUAUUCCUUAGAAUGUGACUUGAUGUUGUUCUUCUCCCGGAAUACUUUUGGGUAGCUGGAGAAACGCACACGCAUGCCUUAGGGUGCCUGCUGUCUCCAAAGAAAUAAACACAUAAGCUGACUUCAAAGUAGAAAAACCCAUCAUUUGUACAGCACUCUUCACCCUGUAUGGAAUUGCGAGAUUUGCCUUUAAUAUUUGGAUGUGAGACACAAACUGUAAGAAAAAAAGGCUUUGCAGUGAAAUGAAGUGGACAAAUGCAAGUUCUGUGUUUAUUGAAGAUAAAGCCCAUUUCCCCAGGUAAAAUAAGUUUUCUUUCCUUCAUCAAAAUCAGUGUUGCAUUUAAUUAUUUUUGCCAGCUGAUAACCUUCCCUAAGUACAAAUGCUUUGCUAACAAAGGUCAGCUCAACUCUGCGGUUACAAAUGUUAUUUUAUAUUUAUUCUGGAAUAUAUUUUCCCUGUAUCAGGCACUUUCAGCUUUCCAUUUACUGGAACUGAGGCAUACUGUCUCCAUCAGGGAAUUCCCCUAACCUCCAUGCACAAUUUCCCUUUUACGCUAUUUCACUUCAAUAAAAAUAGAGGACAAAACAGUGCCUGGCCUUGUUAGUGUGUGCAAAGAGGACACAGAAAAUAAAUCGAGUUGUUGAACUUUUUCUUAUCUGAUCACAACGUGGAGGUCACGAUCCUGUGGCCACAAGGCCUGGAUUAGACCAGCACAUGCAGCACAGCCAGUCUUCUGGAGGGGGGCUGUGCACCAUUCAGCAAGGCACAGGGAGAUGCUGGUCCUGGUCUGCCUGCUGAGGCAGCAAAUAUGCAGAAAGGUUUUCCAGAAUGUCCAGCCAUGUAGCUCCCGUUGUUGUACUUGGAGCCUCUACACCGUAGCACCUUUCCGUCUCUGCCUUUGGAUGGAGCAGGGCAGGCUGAGCUUUGCCAGCACUUGUGCUGAUGGUGGAGAACAUGCCAGAACUUAUGAUUUUAGGUUUGAGUUAUCAUGUUAAGUAGUAGUUGUUAACUAAUUGCUGUAGAUUAGAAAUGUUUUUCAGUUGUGCUUGAACAUAUGUUAGGGAGAGAUGUAGCCUAAAAAGUGACUGCUUGAGAAGGGAAAAAUGCCAGAGGGAAUCUAGUGCUAUGAAAAGGUCACAGAACUGUGACAAGUCUAAGCCUACUUAUUCUGUCUUACUGUAUUUUAACAGCAGAAUAAAAUGUGGUAACCCUUGAAGCAUCAAUAUUGGUAAUUAACUUUCUGUUGAGUCUCUCAACCAUUUUACAAGUUUGUUAUCGAUUUCAGUCAAAACUGACCAUCAGCCUUUCUUAAGGUACCUUUCUCAUGGCUGAUGUGUUUUUUAUCUGGCAGUAUUUCCCUGCUCUGGCUUCAUUACUGCCUCCGAAGACACAAUGUAUAGUUGCCAAUAAAUGGGCAGAGAUGCAUGCCUCUCUUGUCAUGAGCCCACACAAAGGAGCUAACAGGAAACUUCCUCAUUUGUUGCUAUCACAAACCUUACAUUUUACAUUCUUUCCUUGGAAUAAUCAGUGUCAUCUCUUUUUUUGAUCAUUCAUAAAAAUGUCAAAGCCAUUUGCUAGCUUUAAAAAGUCUGGACAUGGCUGUUUGCUGAAUACCAUUUCCUAGCUAUUACUUGUUCUAUAGAACCUCUGCCCAUAUUAGAAGUAACACACCUUCAUUUAUUCUCUUUUAUUCUCAUGAUUUCAGCCAAAUAAGCACAGAAUGUGUUUACAGGCUAAUUAAGAACAAGUGCCAUCUCCAGAGAUGCAUGCUGUUUCUGAGAUACUUAGUGAUAUGGUCUCCAUUACCAGAUAAAAACAUUUCCUGUUUAGGCAACUCCAAAUCAAUUUUUUUUUUCUAUACUAAUCAAAAUUGAAACAUGCCAGUAAUUGCAUGGCUUGAUAGGCAGAACUUGUCUGAGAGUUUUAUAUCUGCAAAUAACAAAGCACAUCAUUAAUACAGGCACAGAACAAGAGAUGUAUUCACCUACACACACAAAAAAAAUAGAUAUGUAUAUAAAGGGAGUACUUUGACUAUGUGUCAGUGCUGCUCCUUUGAACUGAACUCCAAGUACAGAUGGAGGCCAGAGUAACUCAAAGAGGACAUCACAGAAAUUAUAAGGGCCUACAAGCUUGUUGUAGAAGAAUAACAAAAGUUGAACACAAUUAAAUUUCUCUGGAGCUCACGUGAAUCUCUGCAACUAUAUCAGCUCUUUUUUGUUACUGGUAUGUGUUUUCAUUUAUUUCCGUGUGAUGGUUGUUGUAUGCAUAGCCAGCCCAGAAUCAGGGAGGGCAGAAGUCAACGCUAUGUCGUUUCUGUUUCUACACAAUGUUGUCCAUCUCCAUUGUCUCUGUGAAAGUUAGCAAAAGAUUACUUUGUUUGUUGAACUUUGAUUCCAGCAGAAAUAUAUCUAUCAAAGCUCCUUUUAGAAAGUUUCACAGUAGCAGUUAGGGUUAAUUACUGACUUCUUGAGUAAGCUGACAAAAUUUUAAUGAAUUUCAGAUGGCCCUAAAAACAUUGUAGUUCAAAAAGACAUCCUAAUAAAAUCUAUUUCUUUGAAGUCAUGCCUUCAUUUUCUUCACCUCUCCUUUAUAAGAGAGGAAUCUUUGUUCCAGUUCUUGAAAAGCAUAUUCAGGUUUUAAUUUCAAAGUACUUGGAAAUUUUCAGAGGAUGGGUUUUUCAGGUGGAUUUUGAUGAAAGAUUUUUGUUCAAAGUUUGCUGCUGGAAGCAUUUUAGCUUUCCAAUGAGUUACAAUAAUAAUUCUAAAAUAUAUAAUACACAUACACCACUGAUUCAGAAAGAAACAGAAAUAUAAAAGCAUGGACAGGGUUGCUAAUGGCUCAUAUUUGACGUUCUGUUCACUCUAUAAAGAACAAUCAGAAAGAAAUGAUAUUUUGAAAAGCAUCAAGACAUCAGGCUAGAAGAGAUCUUCUGGAUCAUCAGCUUGAGAUACUGCUGUCUUGGGCAGUCAUAUAAGGCUGCUUAUGAAAUUAUUAAACUGUAAGGAUUAAAUUAAUAGUCAAACAAUGUAGAAGAAUGCAAGAAAAAAAACCAAUGAAAAUGUAAAUCAUCAGAUAUUUGUGAAAAAUUGACCUUGCCUGUCUCUGAAGAUCAAUUGCCUGGAACAUGCUCUGCAAUCUCUAUGUUAUUUAACCUCUGAUACACCCCUUCAAGUACUAUGUGUGGUUUUGUGUCACUAUUAAAACAAAUGCAAUAAUACUUC